GCAUAAUUUCAUGAUAAACCAGUUACACAAUUUUGUGAUAUUUCAUUGAAUGUACUUGAAUACUGCAGCGCUUUGCAUCAAAAGACAGCUUUGACGAGGCCACACCCCAUCUGUGUAUAGGUUUGAACCCCGGCCUUUAAGGCUUGUCUCGCUCACAGAUCUGACAUGUCGUGAUUUACCUGUUAAAACUGACUCAACACUUCCUUCACAGCCUGUGAACAUCGUCAUCCUGAGAUCCCCCAUCAUCCCCGCAUCAUCUAGUGCACCUGGAGAAGGAGCAUGUGGGUCUUGAAGUACAACUGCUGUUUCUCGUCAGAUGCUUAAAUAUUCUCUUGGGUGGGGAAGACGUGUUAUUGUAGUCUUCCCUAUCCAUUUCUCUUCAGAUUACCUCGAAGUUUUAUUGCUGGGUAGAGUAAUUAUGAAAAUCAAGGGCAGGUACUUUACGAUUAUCUUUAUAGUUGCAUUCAACCAUUUCUGCGAUGUUGUUAGUAAAUACAAUUCCUAAUAGUGUAAACGAGUCACUCUUCCAGUCUAAAUUCCAGUUUCAACAAAAUUUUCUUCUAGAGUUUUAUUCUGAGCCUAUCCAUAAUACCUGUGUUUUGUUUACAUUUAUUUUUAAGCCUGAAAAUGAGGCAUAUGUACUAAGAAUUUCUAGUGUCGCCUGUAAACAUUUUUCAGUGCC